rnacentral:rRNA from 1 species
AGUCGACGAGACCUUCGGGUCUAGUGGCGCACGGGUGCGUAACGCGUGGGAAUCUGCCCUUGGGUUCGGAAUAACAGUUGGAAACGACUGCUAAUACCGGAUGAUGACGAAAGUCCAAAGAUUUAUCGCCCAGGGAUGAGCCCGCGUAGGAUUAGCUAGUUGGUGAGGUAAAGGCUCACCAAGGCUACGAUCCUUAGCUGGUCUGAGAGGAUGAUCAGCCACACUGGGACUGAGACACGGCCCAGACUCCUACGGGAGGCAGCAGUAGGGAAUAUUGGACAAUGGGGGCAACCCUGAUCCAGCAAUGCCGCGUGAGUGAUGAAGGCCUUAGGGUUGUAAAGCUCUUUUACCCGGGAUGAUAAUGACAGUACCGGGAGAAUAAGCCCCGGCUAACUCCGUGCCAGCAGCCGCGGUAAUACGGAGGGGGCUAGCGUUGUUCGGAAUUACUGGGCGUAAAGCGCACGUAGGCGGCGAUUUAUUUCAAAGGUGAAAGCCCGGGGCUCGACCCCGGAAUAGCCUUUCAGACUGGAUUGCUUGAAUCUU